GUGCUCUAGAAAAGAGGAGGCAAGAGUGAAGGUCUUGCAAGUGGAGCCCAAGGAAAUGAGAGCCACGAAGAUUUUACAGCCGCGCGGUGUAGAAUGGAGAUGCUUCCUUCCUCUUCUCUCCUGGGACGGUAGGAUAUGUCUGCCCCUUCGCUGUGCAGGCUGCUGGACUGGCUUUCGGCAAACCAAGCUCUGCGAUGCUGGCUUCCCCGGCCGCCCUCAGCAUCUGGACCACAGUGGCCGCUUACAGCGGGGUUGGCUGUCUUGAGCCGGGCUCGGCAUCCCAGCUCCCUGGGGAGUUUCCCAGACUCCCGAAGUUCUUGCCGCAUGCCAGCCGCUUCCCAGGAAGUGUGUGAGGCUUCCAGGUCGGAGCCCGUCUCUCUCUCCACGGCUUCUCCCCUGUGGCCUGUGCAGGGGCCUCUCAGUCCCUCUAACUGCCCAGGGCCUCUCAGUCCCCUGUGGCACAGCCAGGGUGACAUCUAGUGGUACAAAAGCAAAGCUGCUCCCAACAGUCCUGUUCUCAGGACCGGUAUCGAAAGCCCUGGGGAGCCCGGUGUGUGAGCAGAGCCUGGAGUCUGUGCCUCUUGGACUGUCCCUCCAGCUGGCGACAGCCGGACGACUGCGGAGAUCUUUGUUCCUGGAGGUCCUGAGGAGGCCGUGGCCCCCUGAGCACGGCCUUGGCCUUCAUGGCGUCCGCCUGCCAGGGACCUGCUGUGGGGCGGGCCUGGGGCCUUGUCACUGGGGGUGCUGCCUCACGGCACCUGGCAGCAAGCCUGGCACCCACACGGGGCAAGCUUCCUCCCCUGUGCCACGGAGAAACACUGGGCACACACAGCGAUGCACACAGACACGAGACACACACACACACACACAGAGACACACACACACACACACACACACACUCAGCUGCCAGCCUGGCCCAGCCUCCAGCUCCGGGCGGGCAAGUGGGUGUGCCUAUUCCCACCGGGCCUCCCGCCACGGACCCCCUGCUGCCCCCCGAGAAUGUGGGCGGGUGGUGUCCAGGGCACUGCGUUCCCUCGCUCUGGCGGCCGUGACCGCAGCCUGGGGCUUCUCAGCGGGAGUCCACCGCGCGGCAGCAGGGCUGUGGCCCGGUGGCUCCGUGGAGGCCGUGUCCAGGCUUCUUCUGCAGCGCCACUGUGCGGUCCCCCGCGUGUCUGUGCUCACCGCUUCUCCCCCUCGCACCGGCCACGGGAGCCUGGGGCCUGCGGGGCCUCCUCUACCUGCACCGUUAAGAUGCGGUCCAAGGAGCCGAGACCCAGUGGGAAGCCCCUUGCACUUCCGCUCCCUGUUGCCGACUUGGAG
rnacentral:lncRNA from 1 species